rnacentral:rRNA from 1 species
UACAGAGGGUGCGAGCGUUAAUCGGAAUUAUUGGGCGUAAAGGGAGCGUAGGCGGAUGUGCAAGUGGUAGGUGAAAUACCCGGGCUUAACCUGGGGAGGUCCUAUCAGACUGCACGUCUAGAAUGUGGUAGAGGAAGGUGGAAUUCCUGGUGUAGCGGUGAAAUGCGUAGAUAUCAGGAGGAACACCGGUGGCGAAGGCGGUUCUCUGGGCCUUACCUGACGCUGAGGAGCGAAAGCGUGGGGAGCAAACAGG